UGGGGGAUGCAGGAGGGGGUGGUAGAGAUCGAGCGGCAACUGUGGCAAAUCGAGACGGUCAUGCGGGAAACCUUGAGAAAGUGCCGCCCUUUCUCAAGGAGAAACCAUCAAGUUGCGCCUUGUUCUCAGUAUCUGCAACUAAAAGUAUUGUGGGAACUGGUGGGUGUGAUGACACGUCGUCUUCAGGAUUUACAGCAGCUGGAGGAAGAAUUACUGAUGGGAUAUGAUCAAGUAAGCCAUCUUGACAUAGUGCAAGGCGAUCACAUCUUCUCAUAUUAAGGCUGAAGUCUUACAGAUAAAUCCAAAUGCUUCAAUCGCUUCAGAUUAAUACUGAUUGCCUCCACUGCUUCAUUGCAAAUACUGUAGCACAUACUUAAAAUCAGAGUCUCAAGGCUAGGAUUGUUCAGAGCAAGAGCUUUUAUUCCAGAUUGUGUAACCUGUAAAAGAGAAGAGGUAUUACUCACUUUCUAUUAAAAAUUGCUGUGGUGAUAAAAUAACACGGGGAAACAAUGUAAAUGAGAAACCUAUACACCAAUAUGAUACCUGACAACACUGUGUUAGAUCCAAAGACUUGAGUUCUAAAAACUUAAAUGCAUGGCAUAAACUGAUAUCAGUUAUCCUCGAACACCCUGACAAGUUCAGAUUGCGUAACCCUGUUGUAAAAGAUCACACAUAUUGUAGAAAACAGACAGUAAAUAAAAGAAUGACACAAAAUUAA